rnacentral:rRNA from 1 species
GAUGAACGCUAGCGGCAGGCUUAACACAUGCAAGUCGAGGGGUAUAGUUCUUCGGAACUAGAGACCGGCGCACGGGUGCGUAACGCGUAUGCAAUCUACCUUUUGCAGAGGGAUAGCCCAGAGAAAUUUGGAUUAAUACCUCAUAGUAUGUGAGAAUGGCAUCAUUUUCACAUUAAAGUCACAACGGCAAAAGAUGAGCAUGCGUCCCAUUAGCUAGUUGGUAAGGUAACGGCUUACCAAGGCAACGAUGGGUAGGGGUCCUGAGAGGGAGAUCCCCCACACUGGUACUGAGACACGGACCAGACUCCUACGGGAGGCAGCAGUGAGGAAUAUUGGACAAUGGGCGCAAGCCUGAUCCAGCCAUGCCGCUAGCG